CAAAAAAAAACAAAUCUUAAGAGCAUUGUUUGUUUAUUUUCAUCUAUAUUUCUCUCGGCGAGCGGGUUUGGGCGGCUUAAAUGUUACCAAACAAAAAUAACACGCAGUAAGACGAAACUGAUUUUCCCCCGCGAUCUUAUUUCCACACUGAGACGUCGGCAACAUAAAUUGUUGCCUCUUUGUUUUCUUGCUGGUAAAAGGAUAAUACGAAGAUUAACACAUUUUGUGAUGCGCCGACAAAAUCGACUGGCAGCUCGGGGCGAGCAAGCGAACAAUAGACGACGAGCAAACUCUGACUACCAGAAGCUCUGUCUCAAGGUCUUUUGUACUCGUUUAAUAUUUCUUAAAAGUGACGGUCUGAGACUCGGCUAAUCGUUUUAACUUAUUUUGUUAAAAUAAAUUCAUACUAUACAAAAACGAGAGAGCUUCUUUAUACAUUAUACUAUUGUACUACCAGAGGAUUUUUGGAACACAUUUUUUUAUAUUUUUAAAAAAUUCCGAACGGCAAAAAAACGAAGAUAACCAAACAUAUUAUUCAAACAGCCGCCAUUUUGUGAAUUUUUUUUUCAAAAUUCUUUUAUAGUGCGUGCUAUUACUACAUCCUUCCUCUUUAAGCAUCAUUCAACAAUUACCAUUUCAGGUUACUGGGAGUCCUGAUAUCCUGCACACCAGGACACGACAUUUCUUCUUCAAUCCCCAAAUUUGCCGGCCUGGAAUUCUUUGAAAUAUAUAUUUUUUUUUAAUUAUAAAUGAUUUGUACUCUUUAAAUAUCAAUAAA